rnacentral:lncRNA from 1 species
GUUCUCACUCUGUCUAUGUCUAGAACACUUUUUUUUUUAAUCCCUUGUGAUGAUGGCAGCUCAGGCCUCUAAUCCUAAGUAUUCCAGAGGCUUAGGCAGACUCAAGGUUAGCCUGUGCUACAAACAAGUGAAUUGAAGGCUAGCCUGGGCUACAAGUGAGUAAUUUAGUGAAACACUGUCUCAAAAAAAAAAAAAAAAGUAAAAGAGGGGGGCUGAGAGUGUAGCUCAGUGAUGGAGCGCUUGUUCUGAUAGCCAGGCACUUCCCUUAACUCCGCAGCCUUGACCACCACUAUCCUGGCUUCUGGCUCUGUGGCCUGUGCACUCUGGGAGGACCACACAGUGCGGGAGCAGUGUUUUCCGUGUGUCGUGCUAUAGCUCGUAUCAGAUCUCCUGCUGACUCAGUUCAUGUCCACUGUGAAUGACCAGUCCUCUGCCCACAGACCCUUGGUGGCUUUCACUUUUCUGAGGCUGCUGUGAACACUCAGGCACACGUCUCAGUGGGAGCCCUUUCCAGGUCAUGAGUUAAGGCUGCGUUGAGUCCUCUGGAGACCCUGAAGACACCAGGAGCUGACGCUCAAAAGUAACUUAGACUGCUGAGUCCUUAGCCCUGGACAGAGAGAGUGGCUUCGGUCAGAAAGCCAGAGAAGCCAGAGUGCCCUUUGUAUCAGAUCCCAUGGCCUUGGAUGUAAGGCCUAAUGGCAUUUUUUUUUUAAAAGAAAGGUGUUUCUAUUAUUUAAAAAAAUGAUUAAAAAAGAAAACUAAUGGCUGCUGAGACAGCUCUGUGGGUAAAGGUGCUUGCAACUUGAAGUCAGUGACCUGAGUCCAUAAACCUCAAACUAUAAUGUAGAUAAACUGCUCCACCAAACUGUCCUGAGCCUUCCAUGCACCCCAUGGCUUGCAUAAACAUCAUGAACAAACGUGAGUAUGCAUCUACAGUAACACUUUUAAAAAUUAUAUCUAUGCUACAGAAGUACCAACCACAAAAUGUUAAUGUCCUCCUGUACUCAGAGUUCAUGCCCACAAAGUGGAUUAUAUUCUUUCUGACUUGGUGUGUCUUCAUAACUGAAGGGAAGAGAGAAACUCAUUUCCUGGCCGGAAGACAAGCUAUAGAUUGUCAUAUCCUCUUAAACCCCAGUAAACACAAAGCCAGGCUCCCUCUCACGAGCCUUCUCCGUUCUUCCCCCUCUUUCAACCCCACGGGCUUUGUCUACACAGAUUUCUGUUGCCUUUCAUGGCCACUUCCAGGAUCCCACACCCUCCCUGGGAAAACAGUGCUCAUUGCCGAGUGGUUUCCUGCGAGCUAGAAGUCCAUCCGGCCCCUGGCUGACCACCUCAGGUCUGGAAAGCCAUGGGAGGUGGGGGUAGUGGGAUAAUGGUCCUCCUGCCUGUUAGGGUCAAGUUCUGACAGUGUGCGUGUGUGCACGUGUUCACGUGUGCAUUCGCACACAUCUGAAUUCCAUGCUCGCAUUCCAUGCUGUGCAUGCGGAGGGCUGAGGACAGUUCGUAGAAGGAUCCUUCUCCUUCCACCCUGAGCCCUGGGGAUCAAACUCAGGUCAUCUGGCUUGGCAGCAAGCGCCAUUUCAUCAGCCCCUCGUCUUAGUUUUUAACAGGUGAGACUGAGGUCUUUGAUGGCUGUCAUGUCCGGCCCCUAUCCCAUCCCCAGGAGUCCCCAGGAGAGAGAAGUGUGGGAGGUGAACCUGUGAUCUCUCUGUCUGAAUGGGGUCCUUUCUUAGAGAGGGUUUUUUAGCCCAGAGUCAGCCUGUAGCUCACCUGCACAGAGACCUAUCGACUCAGAAUAGGUCUUUAAAAUUAAAAACGCUUUAUCACUUAGAUGUGAGAGCCAAAGGAUAAAAUAACAAUCACCGUCCACUCUACUGGACAGAGGAAAGUUCUGGAAGGCUUCCAUAUCUUGCUUCAAACUGAUCUCGUGUGUUUUUUGUGGAGCUGUUCUAUGUCUGUACAGGCACACGGUCAGCUGAUCCUCAGCAGCCAAUGACUCUGCACUUAAGGCUCCCAAGUUUGACAUCCACCCCUCUGGUGCUGGGGAAUUGCACACAAGGCCUUGUGUGUGCUCGGCAAACACUCUGCUGUUGAGCUCCACUCCCAGCCCUUCAUUUAAGAAACAAAAAUUAAGCAAAAAUCAAUGCGGAAUGCUUUUAGGCGUGCACAUGGGCAGAGCAUUGGAACUGUUAAUUGCCCUUUAUGUGUAUUCCCAGCUGAGAUGGAAGGGGGCCGGACUCUGCCUUUCUUUCAUCUCUCCUGUGGUAAACAAGUAUUCUUCUGUGUAUGGGUUAGGGCUGUGUUUCCUCAAUGUUUGUGGAUUAUAUUGACGGCUCUGCUGUUUCAGUUGCCCACCCCCUGCACCCCCCAUCCCUACCCCCAAGCCUCCCAAGGCUACUGUUCUGUUUCCUAGGCUCCGGAAAGCUGUGUUGUGUCUCUUGGAGAAGGUAUAUGUAUUACCUCCCAGACAUUUCUUGUGCUUUUAUGCCCCCGAGUUCAAUGUUAAAGAAUCAUCAACACGUCCUGUUAAAUGGAAAUAAACAAUACAAAGUUAU